CAGCAGCCACGGGAAUACGAAGGGUGCAAGCGUUAAUCGGAAUUACCGGGCGUAAAGCGUGCGUAGGCGGUUUGUUAAGUCUGCUGUGAAAUCCCCGGGCUCAACCUGGGAAUGGCAGUGGAUACUGGCAAGCUAGAGUGUGUCAGAGGAUGGUGGAAUUUCCGGUGUAGCGGUGAAAUGCGUAGAUAUCGGAAGGAACACCAGUGGCGAAGGCGGCUACCUGGACUGAGACUGACACUGAGGCGCGAGAGCGUGGGGAGCAAACAGGAUUAGAUACCCCCGUAGUCCCUGUCUCUUAUAC
rnacentral:rRNA from 1 species